UCAUGUGAGGGGCUUCCUUCUCCCACAUUCUUUCACCACGUUGUUGUGCCUCACCUGGAGAUGGGAAGAAUGGAGCCUGCUGUCUGUGGAUGGAGACCUCUGAAACUGUGAACCCUCAAAUCCUCUACAGUUGUUCUGGUCGGGUCUUUUAUUCACAGCAGUGAAAAAGCUGACUAAAACAAACAGCGAGGCCUACUUCUCACUGCAGAGCCCAGGACCAGGUGCACAUCUAGGCCAGCUGAAGAAUGUCAAAGUUGUGUGGUUUUACAUCCUGGAAUCUCCCUUCUCCUGACCAGCUUUCUCACACUCUCUCAAAAACCCAUCACUGGCCCUGCCCCCAGCUCCACCCUGGGAAGAGGACUUUCCCUUCUUCAGCCUCCUGCCAGCCACAGUUCUCUCCACUUCACCACACCCCACCAGCUCAGGCUCAGCACACUCAGCUGCAGGUUCCUGAGGUGCAGACAUGUCCUGUUGUCCAUGCGUGCAGUGCCUACAGUGACUUUCCUGGCACACCAGCAGCAGGAGAAGAGGAGCUCAGAAAUAUUUGUUGAAUAAAUGGCAAGAAAUUUGGUCUAAUUCAAGAGCAAAGAGAGAA